CAAGACGUAGCUAUAGAAUGAAAGCAUUCAGCUUACGCCUGAAAGAUACCUGCUACAUACCAGGUCGUCUUGA
rnacentral:tRNA from 1 species